rnacentral:rRNA from 1 species
GACGUAGGGCGCGAGCGUUGUCCGGAUUUAUUGGGCGUAAAGAGCUCGUAGGCGGUCUGUCGCGUCGGCUGUGAAAACUCGGGGCUCAACUCCGAGCUUGCAGUCGAUACGGGCAGGCUAGAGUUCGGCAGGGGAGACUGGAAUUCCUGGUGUAGCGGUGAAAUGCGCAGAUAUCAGGAGGAACACCGAUGGCGAAGGCAGGUCUCUGGGCCGAUACUGACGCUGAGGAGCGAAAGCGUGGGGAGCGAACAGG